rnacentral:rRNA from 1 species
UACGUAGGGUCCGAGCGUUGUCCGGAAUUACUGGGCGUAAAGAGCUCGUAGGUGGUUUGUCGCGUUGUUCGUGAAAACUCACAACUCAAUUGUGGGCGUGCGGGCGAUACGGGCAGACUUGAGUACUGCAGGGGGAGACUGGAAUUCCUGGUGUAGCGGUGGAAUGCGCAGAUAUCAGGAGGAACACCGGUGGCGAAGGCGGGUCUCUGGGCAGAUACUGACGCUGAGACGCGAAAGCAUGGGGAGCAAACAGG